UGGUGGGUAGUUUGACUGGGGCGGUCUCCUCCCAAAGAGUAACGGAGGAGCACGAAGGUUAGCUAAUCCUGGUCGGACAUCAGGAGGUUAGUGCAAUGGCAUAAGCUAGCUUGACUGCGAGAGUGACGGCUCGAGCAGGUGCGAAAGCAGGUCAUAGUGAUCCGGUGGUUCUGAAUGGAAGGGCCAUCGCUCAACGGAUAAAAGGUACUCCGGGGAUAACAGGCUGAUACCGCCCAAGAGUUCAUAUCGACGGCGGUGUUUGGCACCUCGAUGUCGGCUCAUCACAUCCUGGGGCUGAAGUAGGUCCCAAGGGUAUGGCUGUUCGCCAUUUAAAGUGGUACGCGAGCUGGGUUUAGAACGUCGUGAGACAGUUCGGUCCCUAUCUGCCGUGGGCGCUGGAGAAUUGAGGGGGGCUGCUCCUAGUACGAGAGGACCGGAGUGGACGCAUCACUGGUGUUCGGGUUGUCAUGCCAAUGGCACUGCCCGGUAGCUAAAUGCGGAAGAGAUAAGUGCUGAAAGCA
rnacentral:rRNA from 1 species